rnacentral:rRNA from 1 species
UACGAAGGGGGCUAGCGUUGCUCGGAAUCACUGGGCGUAAAGGGCGCGUAGGCGGCCAAGUAAGUUGGGGGUGAAAGCCCGUGGCUCAACCACGGAAUUGCCUUCGAUACUGCUUGGCUUGAGACCGGAAGAGGUGAGUGGAACUGCGAGUGUAGAGGUGAAAUUCGUAGAUAUUCGCAAGAACACCAGUGGCGAAGGCGGCUCACUGGUCCGGAUCUGACGCUGAGGCGCGAAAGCGUGGGAGCAAACAGG